GAUGAACGCUGGCGGCGUGCCUAAUACAUGCAAGUCGAGCGAACAGACGAGGAGCUUGCUCCUCUGACGUUAGCGGCGGACGGGUGAGUAACACGUGGAUAACCUACCUAUAAGACUGGGAUAACUUCGGGAAACCGGAGCUAAUACCGGAUAAUAUAUUGAACCGCAUGGUUCAAUAGUGAAAGACGGUUUUGCUGUCACUUAUAGAUGGAUCCGCGCCGCAUUAGCUAGUUGGUAAGGUAACGGCUUACCAAGGCAACGAUGCGUAGACGACCUGAGAGGGUGAUCGGCCACACUGGAACUGAGACACGGUCCAGACUCCUACGGGAGGCAGCAGUAGGGAAUCUUCCGCAAUGGGCGAAAGCUUGACGGAGCAACGCCGCGUGAGUGAUGAAGGUCUUCGGAUCGUAAAACUCUGUUAUUAGGGAAGAACAAAUGUGUAAGUAACUAUGCACGUCUUGACGGUACCUAAUCAGAAAGCCACGGCUAACUACGUG
rnacentral:rRNA from 1 species